UAAAUUGCUGCGUUAAAAAGCUCGUAGUUGGAUCUCGGUAUCACUGUCGCCUGCCAGUCCUCGGCUGAUUGUGUCUGUGUGUGUAGGUGGGACCGCGCUCUGCGCGGCACCCCUCGCCCAGGCGCGGUUAUGCUCGAGUUGGCGUGGUGGUGGUGUCACCUUUCAGCCAUGUCUGUGGUGAAAUACCCGCAGGUGUAGGCGAGUGUCAGGCGGUGCUCUGCGACAGUAGGGUCCGUCGGCUCGUUUGCAUGCCUCUGGAUGCCCUUCAAAAGGUGUCUAUGGGCGGAUGGCACGUUUACUUUGAACAAAUUUGAGUGCUCAAACCAGGCCGAUGUUGCCUGAAAAGUUUUGCAUGGAAUAAUGGAAUAGGACUUCGGUUCUAUUUCGUUGGUUUUCGGAUCCGAAGUAAUGAUCAAAAGAGACAGGCGGGGACGUUUGUAUGGUUGCGCUAGAGGUGAAAUUCAUGGACCGUAACCAGACAAACUAAAGCGAAAGCAUUCGUCAAGCAUGUUUUCAUUGGCCAUGAGCGAAAGUCAGAGGCUCGAAGACGAUCAGAUACCGUCCUAGUUCUGACCAUAAACGAUGCCAACUGACGAUCCGUGGUGGUAGUAUUUUAACCAUCCCCACGGGCAGUCCCCGGGAAACCUUUAANUCUUUGGGUUCCGGGGGAAGUAUGGUUGCAAAGCUGAAACUUAAAGGAAUUGACGGAAGGGCACCACCANGANUGGANCCUGCNGCUUAAU
rnacentral:rRNA from 1 species